GUUGAGGCUGGCAGGCUAUGGAAGGUUGUGGAUUCUUCCCCACGAAUUGAGGUCGUGCUGCUGCCAGGGGACACUGUGUUUUCAGUUGAGCCUGGGCUGCUGUAGAUGGUGGUAGAUUCCUCAUUGAGGCCUGGCGUGGUGGUGCCGGCCGGAGACACUGUUGAGUGAGUUGAGCCCGAAUGGCUAUGGGAGGUGGUAGAAUCUUCACUGACGCCAAGGCUUGUCGCACUGGCAGGUGAGAGUGUUGUGGUCAGUGAUCUGGGGCUACUGUGUAAGGUGGUAGAUGUCUCACUGAGGCCUGUUGUUGUGGUACUGCCAGGUAACAUUGUUAUUUCAGCUGCGCCUGGACUGAUGGGUGAGAUUGUAGAUUCUCCACGACCUGAGGUUGUGGAGUGGGAGGGUGAGGGUGUUGUUCCAGUUGCAUCUGGGCUGCUGUGGACUAUUGUUGAUUCCUCACUACGGCCCAAGCUUGUGGAGCUGACAGAAAAGAGGGUUGUUGGAGUUGAGCUCGGGCUUCUAUGGUAGGAUGUAGAUA